rnacentral:misc_RNA from 1 species
GAUGAAGAACGUAGUGAAAUGCGAUAAGUAGUGUGAAUUGCAGAAUUCAGUGAAUCAUCGAAUCUUUGAACGCACAUUGCGCCCCUUGGUAUCCCGAGGGGCAUGCCUGUUCGAGCGUCAUUUCACCACUCAAGCCUGGCUUGGUGUUGGGCGACGUCCCCUUUAGGGACGCGCCUCGAAACGCUCGGCGGCGUGGCACCGGCUUUAAGCGUAGCAGAAUCUUUCGCUUUGGAAGUCGGGGCCCCGCCUGCCGGAAUACCUACUCGUAAGGUUGACCUCGGAUCAGGCAGGGAUACCCGCUGAACUUAAGCAUAUCAAUAAGCGGAGGA